GUCAACAACUUUUAUCUAUAAUCCAGUUCUACAGGGUACAGGGGAUGCAAGAACAGGGGAGACAAGAUACAAGUCAAGGUCUGCAACACUUUUGUACAGGGGGGCAAUUCUUGCAACUAGAAGAUUAGGGGGGACGGAGGUACAGAGAGGGAAAUCAACUAGUUUUAGCAGUAAAAGAAGUUCAUGGCCAGAAAUUUCUGGAACAACACCUUUUUUACCUUCCCUGUUUUCACUGGGGGAAACUUGCCCAGCUA